GCAGCAGAGAUGCCCAGGAGAAGACAGGAGACUAGGAGCUGCUCUAGCAUCCGUUGCAGUUAAUGGGUUGCUUUCCUCCGGUUUCACUUGGCAUCAACCGGACACUCACUAAACCGGGUCUAUCCUGAUGGGCUAUGGAGCAAGACCGGCAUCCAGAUAGCACACAGCAGCCUGCCCUUCCCCUACAGCAUGACCUCAAUUCUGAAGAGCCAAGAGAAGAAUUCAGCCACACUCCUUGAAAGACAGCGGCGAAACAGUGAAAGAUAAUGGUGAGAUAGGCAGGGCUGUUGUUCCGCGCUUGGUCUGUGAGUUAUUACCGUUAUGAUUAACGAGCCUCAGAUAAGGAGGCGUGCCUCGUUAUCAUAAACAGAUGGGAGUCUUUCGGCGUUAAUGCUUUGGCACUGGAAGAUCAUGUUUACUUUUGCUGGCCAAGAAAACAGACAAACAUUGGACAUGUUUAUCUGGAUAUAAUGUAAUAAUGGUAUGGAGUGUAAUAACGUUAUAGAAAUCUAAGUCUAAACAUGUAGUUUAUGGUAGGAAGAUUCAUGAUGUAGAAAUGUUAAUAGAAUAACUACCACACCCCCCCCCCCCCCCGCUUUCUAUUCCCCUUGAAGUCUGUUGGUGUUAAUUUGUAUUAAUGGUGUUAAUUUGUACAGUCCUUUGUAUUGGACUGUACCUGGCAGAACAGCUGAAGCCAGGCGCCAGCUCCGAAGGGCUGAACCGCCACCUAGUCUUUGGGCUCUGGACACUGAAUUGUUUCGGAAAAGGAGCAAACCAUCCAGCUGGCUACACAAGUGUCUAUGCUACCGACUUCUUCAAUAUCUGUCUCACAGCGGGCUCAUUUAAGGUUUGUUCCUUAUGCUGAUUCAUGUGUUUGAUAGAAGAAAAUGGAGAAAAAAAUACACAUAAUUCUUUAAGACCAAGGUUUCAUAAUGCUCCAUCUUAGGAAAAAAAGAUAGCUUUUAGCCUCAUUCACUACAGUUCAGGUUACUGAGAGCAGAGCAGAGCAGAGCCCAUUUCAGCAGAGCCCAUCUAGUCAGCUAGUAAACAAUCUUAUUUGCAAGAAGUAUUACUUCUACUGAUGUCAGAAAGUGCUUAGACACCUCCAGGCUUUAUAGCUUCCCUUUUGCAGCUUCAGCAGCCUUAGCUUUCUCUGAACAUACUUGUAUUUUUGUGACUGAAUUGCCUGUUUAUUUUAAAGAAACAGAACUGAAUUCAGUACCAGCCUUUGAAAGAUAUGUUCCUUAUGAGGCCAAGCUCACCAGCAUCAUUCAGACUAUGCCACUUACUUACUUAAAUUCAAGUUAAAACCUUAUGAAAAUUAAAGGCAUUUAAGUUUCACACUGACCUUCUCUACAGGAAUAAAGUUUACCUGAGAUGCAUGCUGCCUCUAAUUCUCAUUUAACAUAGAGUAAAAGAGUUAACACAGCUGGAGUUUGGAGCUCAACUCAUGCAUGCUCCAUUUCCUUCAGAUAUCCUUCAGCUUUCCUUCAAUUACCUUCUCAUAAGAAAUAUUACAUUAAUCUUUGCCUAAUUAAAAAUUUACAUUACAUCAUGGACUCUACUGAAACCUCAGUAACGUUAAAAGGAUAAUGGGGAAACGGCAGAAGAGAUCAGAACCACGUUUCUGAGUAGGCAGUUAAUCAACAGUGAGGUAUUUCUUUCCUUUCCAUUAAUUAGGUACAAAGUGAUCAGUGUAGCCAUAAUGUAGAAGUUACUUACUUACUUACAAAACAUAAAGGGCUUUCAUGUACAUCCCUGGUUGAUUUGUCACGGGCAGUUUUCAACAGCAGAAGUGUCACAGGGUUUGCCCAUAUGCCUAUGAAUAAUGAUGCUUUGUACACUAGUGUAAAAUAAUCAUCAUUUAAUAGCUGUGUUCUCCCCAAACCUCUUCAGUGGUCCAAAUCCCUGUCUGUGCUUCGCUGCAAGUGCCAGAUUCUUGAAAUCGCUUAUUUUGACUACCCUCAUAUUGUCUUCCCAAAAGAGACUGGGAUUCUUUCACCCAGAAAUCUCACUGAACUUGAAAGGCUGAAGCAGCUGUCCUCAAACAGAUACCACAUUUGCUUACUCCGGCAAUUAAGAAAUCCAUUUUUAGUAGCAUAAAGAGCAGUAGGUAUGCCUGCGGCUACAGCGAAUUAGUGAUGUCACUGAACUGUAAAAACUUCGUCAAAAAUUUUUAAGGAAGAGAAAGAGUAAAUGAGUUUAUCCUGAAAUUUUUCAGCUUAUCAUAUAUAAUUUGUUUCCCAUUUAUGUCAGCACAUGCUUUCUUAACGACAGGAAAACUAAUACAGUACGCAUUAGUACUAUAUGCGUGAAGUGCAUGUCUUGUAAGUCUACCCAGAGCUCCAGUAUGCUCUGAUAUAUCAACAGCAGUAUUUAACUUCAGGAGCGAAGAUGCCGGCAGCACGUGCCGUGCCUUUGGCCAAAGCCGGCAAGGCAGCGGGGAAACGCGCCAGCCCGAACAGGUCAGCGCCGCAGCGGGGAGGCCGCUUUGGCUGAAGUCGUUUUCAGCGGUAUCUGGUACCAGCAGAUGAUAUUUCCAAGCCUUUCUCGCAUGCCUCUAACUUAUAUAAAUAAGACAAUUCUGGCAGGUUUGGAGCAGCACUGAUUUGCACUCACACGCUCUCACUCUUCUGGCAGGGACCCUACUCACUGCUGAAUCCAUGCUCCUGCUUCUUUUCCUCCUCCUCUCGCACCCACAUAUACUCACUGUGUAACAGGCAAAACGUGCGUGUGUUAGAAAUACUAUCCAAGAGGGAGGUUCAUCAAAACACUGAAAAGACUGGUUAGGUUUCUUUAGAAAUUCAGAAGUCCUUACCCAGUAGCCACUGUGGUGCUACAUUUAUCUAAUAUCUUGUCUAACAAAAAGUUCUUGUUUGUUAUGUAUUUGAAGUCUCUUUGGUGGUGGUGGUGGGGGGGGAACGGGGGAUUUCUAGAAUAAAGCAGCUAAGAUGUUCCAGAUCUUUUUUGUUUAAUUGAUAGUAAUUUUAGUUGGACACUUUCCCAUGGCAAUGUCACCUUAGUUUGGGAAAGAAAGCAAGCUUCUAUUUUCUUUCAGUCAUGUCUUCCAAAACAAAGCUAUUAGAGGCAACUGUCUAUCUGAAAUCUGAACGUAUUUUCUCUUGCUGUAAUCCAAUAAAAAGUUAGCUGAACAGCUGAAUAUAGCCAGCAACUGAAAUAAAUAAGUACAUUUUUGAAAUAGUAGGACUGAUCAAGUCUCUCAAAUUGUGUGUGUAUGUGU